UAAGCGGAGGAAAAGGAAACUACAAGGAUUCCCCUAGUAACGGCGAGUGAAGCGGGAUGAGCUCAAAUUUGUAAUCUGGCGGCCUUUGGCCGUCCGAGUUGUAGUCUGGAGAAGCGUUUUCCGCGUCGGACCGUGUACAAGUCCCUUGGAACAGGGCGUCGUAGAGGGUGAGAAUCCCGUCUUUGACACGGACUGCCGAUGCUUUGUGAUGCGCUCUCGAAGAGUCGAGUUGUUUGGGAAUGCAGCUCAAAACGGGUGGUAAAUUCCAUCUAAAGCUAAAUACGGGCGAAAGACCGAUAGCGAACAAGUACCGUGAGGGAAAGAUGAAAAGCACUUUGGAAAGAGAGUUAAACAGUACGUGAAAUUGUUGAAAGGGAAACGCUUGAAGUCAGUCGCGUCUCCUGGGACUCAGCCUUGCUUCUGCUCGGUGUACUUCCUGGGGUUGACGGGCCAGCAUCGAUUUUGACCGUUGGAGAAAGGCCUUGGGAACGUGGCACCCUUUGGGUGUGUUAUAGCCCUCGGUCGUAUGCGACGGUUGGGAUCGAGGACCGCAGCAUGCCUUUUUGGCCGGGGUUCGCCCACGUACGUGCUUAGGAUGCUGGCGUAAUGGCUUUAAGCGACCCGUCUUGAAACACGGACCAAGGAGUCUAACAUGCCUGCGAGUGUUUGGGUGGUAAACCCGGACGCGAAAUGAAAGUGAAAGGUUGGGACCUCUGUCGUGGAGGGCACCGACGCCCGGACCAGACCUUUUGUGACGGUUCCGAGGUAGAGCAUGCAUGCUGGGACCCGAAAGAUGGUGAACUAUGCUUGAGUAGGGUGAAGCCAGAGGAAACUCUGGUGGAGGCUCGUAGCGAUUCUGACGUGCAAAUCGAUCGUCGAACUUGAGUAUAGGGGCGAAAG
rnacentral:rRNA from 1 species